rnacentral:tRNA from 1 species
UCCCUAGUGGUCUAAUGGUUAGGGCUCUGCAUUUCCACUGCAGGAAAUGCAGAUUCAAUCUGUGGUCAGGGAA